rnacentral:lncRNA from 1 species
AUGUGACUUCUGUGUUAGUAUACUAGCCAUGAUGUGUUUUAUUCAAGUUAUUAACCUACAAAUUUGGCUUGAGAUGCUACAUGUUUAUAUGGCACGAUUGAUUGUUGUUUGCGUAUGGUUAUUAAGAUUGAUUGAUUGAUUGAUUGCUGUUUGUUGAUUGACUGAUUGGUGUUUGCUGUUUGUUGAUUGAUUGCUUGAUUGCUUGUUGUUUGUUGAUUGGUAUCAAACUUUGGUAUUCGUAGUUCUUGAUCUUAGGUAACAGACCUUGCACUAUUCUUUUUUCUGAACUUUUUUGUGAUUAUGCAAUGCUUUUCUAAGUAUUUAAGGUACAAACAUCUUGAUCUGGACACAUCACAUUUGCUCUUUAUUGUGUUGCUAAGGACACUGAUGGGUUGAGUUGCAUAUAGUGCAGGUAUAUUUACAUUCUUUACAUUUUGUGAUGCUGAUGCCUCUAGUCCCAAAGUGUUUAUUUACCCAAAUUUUGCUACUGGAACUUUUGGUUUUAGAUAUUGGCACCUGAUAUUUGAAUGGAUGUUUUCAUGAUGCCUAAUUUGAUUCAUUAUCAUUGUUCUGAUGGUGUGCUACUGGUGUUUUAACUGAAGCUGUGGAUCGCUCAUCAACCUGGUAUGUGUUUCGAUGAUAACCCAUCUUGAAUUUUACUCGUUUCUAUAUUUUACACAAAUGUUUAUCUCAUGGCUGGUAAUGGUAACCUUAUGAAUGCAUAGCCCACAUUUUAGCUAGUUAUAUAGUAAUGCCAUACUUGCUUGGAUGAUGUUCUGUAUAUGCAAGUGUGGUGAGCUCACAUAUUCUGUCGGCAUCUAUCUAUGCAGCUGAGCUCUUUCUGGAUAGGACAGAGGUACAAUAUUUACAUCCAUGGC